CAGGCUGAGGCCGCCCUGGGGUCCCUCCCACCGGCCGCAAAGCCAACCCGCCCAGGUUUUAGUGGCUGCGAGGUCCUCCCACCCUACUCCACGGCCCCUCCCAGCGCGGGGCUCCUUCCGUCCCGGAACCCCGCCUGGCUCCCGCCUCCCGCGCGGCUACCCCUUUGCUGGGGAGAUAGCGUAGGACUUCCUGAUCGCAGCGGCCGUCUCACCGCGAGUCUCAACUGUCUCUUCCCCAGUCCCCAGCCUUUCAUCAAUCCCGAUAUUAGAGGAUUCCCAACGUUUCACCUGUCUUCUGGACAACCUUUGGAGCUGCCACUGGCAACGCACAGCCACGCGGCCAAAGUGGAACCCAGCAUCCCUCAAACAAGUGCCUACUUCCAGGAUUCUCAGUUUCUAACGGGAUACCACCAUCCACUCUGGUGUGCCCACACCAGAUAGUUGAGAAGGAGACCUCCAGAUGGCUGGGAUGCUUCCGAAGAGCCCACCUGAGCCCAGGUGACCUUGGCAUCUCUCCCUAAAAUCCAUCUAUUUACGGCACAUUCCUUGACACCUGUGCCUUUCGGUUCAGUUAGAAGCAUUAGACACAGAGGGAACCAAACACAGUUCAGGCCUUUCCCCUUGUAUCCUGAGGAUGGGAGGAGUUAGCCCCAGGCCUGCCCUAUUAAGGCAGGGCCCAUCCCACCCCUCCUCACCUGGUAUCUGUCUGAGUGGUGCAGGUCAUCGGUGGCAGACGAGUGUGGUGAUGCUGUCGGAGACUCUCCUUCCCUCUUGAUGGAAGCAGACAACAAGAGGGACUGGAAGAAGAAAAAGGACACGUGGCCUCAGGCUGAAUGAGACCUACAGUCAGUUCCCUAGAGUGUCCAGUCCUAUGGAGCUUUUGGGAUAGAGGCAGAGAAAAGGAGGGCAGAGGGGUAGAAACCGCUUGAGAUUCUGAAGGCAUGUGGUCAGGGCCCCCAGAGUCUGGUUGUGGGAAAGGAUAGCUUGAUCCUAGGGAUGGGUGGAGACCCCUGGAGAGGGUCCAACCUCUUCCACCCCAGCGAAUCUCUGUCCCAGUGGGGCAGGCCUCCCAGUGGGCUGAGACUAUAUAUAGGCUUUGUUCUCCCAUAGUGAGCAGAGACUCUGGGACCCCUCUGAAGGGUUGGGGGUAAAGCCACAUCCCUGCUGCCCUGCCUGCCCCUAAUACAGGCUGGUGGCAGCCCCGCUAUGGAGACAGUAAAUUAAAUAGUGUGUAAGAGUUUCCUUCGUGCAGCUAGGGAUGUACACUGGCUCCAUUUAUCCCUGUACUGUGGCGAUGACCCCAGCAAAAAUCCCAGCAAAAUUAAUCCCCCCAUGUCAGUCCUGCAUGGGCUCUUCUACAUAUGCCCGCAGUUUAGAUUAAUAAACUGUCUGCUUUAAAUUGUACGCGAGCACCGCAAUUCUAAAUACCACAUGGCACGUUCAGCCUGCUCUUGCUGCCUCUUGCCAAGGCCUGUUCAACUGCAAACUGGGGCCUGGAGGCCUGAAAGCAAUCCAUACUUCCUCCCCCCCACCUUUUCCAGCCUGCACAGCCCAGAGCCGGAAGCAUACAAUUCCCUAGGAGGCCUCCCCAGCUUAGAAAACCAUGCCAAAUCGCCACUGACAGCCCAAAGAAAGCAAUUUGGGAAAGAUGGAGCAGCCAUUUAUCCUUCAUCUCCGACUGAGCCUUAGGAUGUGACCUGCAUGCGGUGGCCACGCUGCGCAUCCUCAGGCGAGGGCCCUGGGAAGGGGAGCAGCUGCUGGUCUGGCAGGGCUCCCUGACUCGGCCUCAUCACAAGAGCAGAGGAGGGCAGAGGCCAGGCAGGGACUGGGAUGGGAUUCCCUGCAACUUGGAGCCCUUUCCUCACCUACCCAGGCCCAGUGGGAGGCCGAGUGGGUGCCUUGGCCCCCAGCUCGGAAAAGAGGUAGGCUUUCAGGCAAUGGCCUUUCCUUCUCUGGUCCCAAGGAGGAUGCUGAGGAGGGGAAGCAUCGUGGGGCCCCUGCCCCCCCAUCAUGAGAAAGUUCACGCUUGUGUGCUCUCUUUCAUUCUCUCUAGGUUAGAAGCCCUGAGAGGCCUCAGCAUUACACCUGGGGCAAGCGGAAUAAAAAAAGGUCACUGGCGCUUUUUAAACAUGGACCAAAAAGCAGUAAAAUGUGUUUUGAAAAAAAAAUCCCGACAUUAAAUCAUGACUUUUUGCCUGGC